GCGGUCGUGGCGGAAUUGGUAGACGCGCAGGAUUAAGGAUCCUGUGGUAGGUAAUACCGUGCGGGUUCGAUUCCCGCCGACCGCAUCA
rnacentral:tRNA from 1 species